rnacentral:rRNA from 1 species
GUGAGGAAUAUUGGUCAAUGGACGAGAGUCUGAACCAGCCAAGUCGCGUGAAGGAAGACGGUUCUAUGAAUUGUAAACUUCUUUUGUGCAGGAAUAAAGUGGGUUACGUGUAACCUUUUGUAUGUACUGUACGAAUAAGGAUCGGCUAACUCCGUGCCAGAAGCCGCGGUAAUACGGAGGAUCCGAGCGUUAUCCGGAUUUAUUGGGUUUAAAGGGUGCGUAGGUGGAUUGAUAAGUCAGCGGUGAAAGUUUGCAGCUUAACUGUAAAAUUGCCGUUGAAACUGUCGGUCUUGAGUGCAAAUGAGGUAGGCGGAAUGUGUUGUGUAGCGGUGAAAUGCUUAGAUAUAACACAGAACUCCGAUUGCGAAGGCAGCUUACUGGGAUGCAACUGACACUGAUGCACGAAAGCGUGGGUAUCAAACAGGAUUAGAAACCCUGGUAGUCC